GAGAAGAGGCAUUGGAUCACCAUUUUAAAGAAAUGAGUAAGGUUCCCUGGAUUAAUAACCUGAUGUGAGGAGACAGAUCAUCUCUUGUGAGCUAACAAAACCAUCUCUGAUUCAUUUCCUUUCUCCUUGGUGGUCCUCCUGAGUCGGGAAAGAUUCAUCUUCUCCUCCCUCCCACUAAUAAACUGGAAAACUACCCAGAAUGCUAUGGGCAAGGAUGCUCUGGGGAAUUGAAGUGAAAAAAGAUACUGUCAGAUUCCAUUUCAAAUAAAUGUAACCUGCUACUGGA